CAGCCGUAAACUAUGCGCGUUAGGUGUAUCGGUGACCACGAGUCACCGAGGUGCCGAAGGGAAACCGUGAAACGUGCCGCCUGGGAAGUACGGUCGCAAGGCUGAAACUUAAAGGAAUUGGCGGGGGGAGCACAACAACGGGUGGAGCCUGCGGUUUAAUUGGACUCAACGCCGGGAAGCUCACCGGAUAGGACAGCAGAAUGAUUGCCGGGCUGAAGACCCUGCAUGACUAGCUGAGAGGAGGUGCAUGGCGUAGACGUCU
rnacentral:rRNA from 1 species